rnacentral:rRNA from 1 species
GGUGACUGCGUACCUUUUGUAUAAUGGGUCAGCGACUUAUAUUCUGUAGCAAGGUUAACCGUAUAGGGGAGCCGGAGGGAAACCGAGUCUUAAUUGGGCGUUAAGUUGCAGGGUAUAGACCCGAAACCCGGUGAUCUAGCCAUGGGCAGGUUGAAGGUUGGGUAACACUAACUGGAGGACCGAACCGACUAAUGUUGAAAAAUUAGCGGAUGACCUGUGGCUGGGGGUGAAAGGCCAAUCAAACCGGGAGAUAGCUGGUUCUCCCCGAAAGCUAUUUAGGUAGCGCCUCGUGAAUUCAUCUCCGGGGGUAGAGCACUGUUUCGGCUAGGGGGUCAUCCCGACUUACCAACCCGAUGCAAACUGCGAAUACCGGAGAAUGUUAUCACGGGAGACACACGGCGGGUGCUAACGUCCGUCGUGAAGAGGGAAACAACCCAGACCGCCAGCUAAGGUCCCAAAGUCAUGGUUAAGUGGGAAACGAUGUGGGAAGGCCCAGACAGCCAGGAUGUUGGCUUAGAAGCAGCCAUCAUUUAAAGAAAGCGUAAUAGCUCACUGGUCGAGUCGGCCUGCGCGGAAGAUGUAACGGGGCUAAACCAUGCACCGAAGCUGCGGCAGCGACACUGUGUGUUGUUGGGUAGGGGAGCGUUCUGUAAGCCUGUGAAGGUGGCCUGUGAGGGUUGCUGGAGGUAUCAGAAGUGCGAAUGCUGACAUAAGUAACGAUAAAGCGGGUGAAAAGCCCGCUCGCCGGAAGACCAAGGGUUCCUGUCCAACGUUAAUCGGGGCAGGGUGAGUCGACCCCUAAGGCGAGGCCGAAAGGCGUAGUCGAUGGGAAACGGGUUAAUAUUCCCGUACUUGGUGUUACUGCGAAGGGGGGACGGAGAAGGCUAUGUUGGCCGGGCGACGGUUGUCCCGGUUUAAGCGUGUAGGUGUGUGUUCCAGGUAAAUCCGGUUCACUUUAACACUGAGGCGUGACGACGAGGCACUACGGUGCUGAAGCAACAAAUGCCCUGCUUCCAGGAAAAGCCUCUAAGCAUCAGGUAACAUCAAAUCGUACCCCAAACCGACACAGGUGGUCAGGUAGAGAAUACCAAGGCGCUUGAGAGAACUCGGGUGAAGGAACUAGGCAAAAUGGUGCCGUAACUUCGGGAGAAGGCACGCUGACACGUAGGUGAAGUGAUUUACUCACGGAGCUGAAGUCAGUCGAAGAUACCAGCUGGCUGCAACUGUUUAUUAAAAACACAGCACUGUGCAAACACGAAAGUGGACGUAUACGGUGUGACGCCUGCCCGGUGCCGGAAGGUUAAUUGAUGGGGUCAGCGCAAGCGAAGCUCCUGAUCGAAGCCCCGGUAAACGGCGGCCGUAACUAUAACGGUCCUAAGGUAGCGAAAUUCCUUGUCGGGUAAGUUCCGACCUGCACGAAUGGCGUAAUGAUGGCCAGGCUGUCUCCACCCGAGACUCAGUGAAAUUGAACUCGCUGUGAAGAUGCAGUGUACCCGCGGCAAGACGGAAAGACCCCGUGAACCUUUACUAUAGCUUGACACUGAACAUUGAGCCUUGAUGUGUAGGAUAGGUGGGAGGCUUUGAAGCGUGGACGCCAGUCUGCGUGGAGCCGACCUUGAAAUACCACCCUUUAAUGUUUGAUGUUCUAACGUGGACCCGUGAUCCGGGUUGCGGACAGUGUCUGGUGGGUAGUUUGACUGGGGCGGUCUCCUCCUAAAGAGUAACGGAGGAGCACGAAGGUUGGCUAAUCCUGGUCGGACAUCAGGAGGUUAGUGCAAUGGCAUAAGCCAGCUUGACUGCGAGCGUGACGGCGCGAGCAGGUGCGAAAGCAGGUCAUAGUGAUCCGGUGGUUCUGAAUGGAAGGGCCAUCGCUCAACGGAUAAAAGGUACUCCGGGGAUAACAGGCUGAUACCGCCCAAGAGUUCAUAUCGACGGCGGUGUUUGGCACCUCGAUGUCGGCUCAUCACAUCCUGGGGCUGAAGUAGGUCCCAAGGGUAUGGCUGUUCGCCAUUUAAAGUGGUACGCGAGCUGGGUUUAGAACGUCGUGAGACAGUUCGGUCCCUAUCUGCCGUGGGCGCUGGAGAACUGAGGGGGGCUGCUCCUAGUACGAGAGGACCGGAGUGGACGCAUCACUGGUGUUCGGGUUGUCAUGCCAAUGGCACUGCCCGGUAGCUAAAUGCGGAAGAGAUAAGUGCUGAAAGCAUCUAAGCACGAAACUUGCCCCGAGAUGAGUUCU